CCUACGGGAGGCAGCAGUGGGGAAUAUUGCACAAUGGGCGAAAGCCUGAUGCAGCGACGCCGCGUGAGGGAUGACGGCCUUCGGGUUGUAAACCUCUUUCAGCAGGGACGAAGCGAAAGUGACGGUACCUGCAGAAGAAGCACCGGCCAACUACGUGCCAGCAGCCGCGGUAAU
rnacentral:rRNA from 2 species